rnacentral:lncRNA from 1 species
GCUGACGAUUGGACGGCUUGGAAGCGUCUGUCAAGCGUGGACGGGGAGGGGGAACGUUGAGAGAGAGAGAGAGAGAGAGAGAGAGAGGAGGGGGUGGCGGCGGGUCGCACUUCCGCCUCGGGGAGUGUGGACUGGUCUCGCCGGGGGUUUGAGGCCGGAGAAGAGUGUGCGCGUGCGCACGCCCGCACCUCAGGACGGGGACGCGCCGGGAGACAGGGAGCAGUGGGUGAUGGUUGGCCCUGUCAUUCUACAGCAGACACAGGCAAGUUACAGUGGCAGUGAAAAAAGUGACUUACAGCCAUUUUUCAGCAUCCCUACGAUCAUGUGACCAAAAUUCAGAUACUUGCCAACUGACUCAUAUUUAUGACAGUUGCAGGGGUCAUGUGAUCCUCUUUUGCGAUCUUCUGACAAGCAACGUCAAUGGGGAAGCCAGGUUCACUUAACUGUGUUACCGACUUAACAACUGCAGUGGUUUAUUUAAUAACUCUGGCAAGAAAGGUUGCAAAAUGGGACAAAACUCACUGAGCAACUGUACUGUGGAAACUUUGGGCUCAGUUGUGCUCAUAAGUCGAGGACUACCUGUAUAAUUGUUGUAGCCCACCCUAGAAACUAUGUUCCCUUAAGUUGUGAUUCUCAGACGCCAUAUCCAUGAGUUCAUCCUAAAUGCUCUUCUAGGAAAUUUGCCUCUAACUGAAUGGAUGGAGACAUAUAAUAGAUUUUAGACACCUUGCAGCUGUCAUUGAUGCUGUGAUUUAAUAGGGAAAAGAUGAGUGCAGGUAAAGACACCUUAAGCCUGUGUCACUAAUGAUAAUGACUGGUGAUAAAUUGAAAGCAGCCUUAUAGAGUCACAGCAGAAAAAACAAUGUUGUAAGGUGUGCUUGUGCCAUGGUUGGGUACAAGUAAAUAAAAACCUCUUGUGCUUUUUCAGUAUUGAUUACCGCUUGGUUUAUGUUACACUGAAACCAAUUUGGAAAAAUAUAAACUUUUUUUCCUUUCAAUGCAUUCCUCUUUCCAUCAUGCCUGUAUGUUUGGAAACUACUUUCCAAAAAUUAUCUCCUAUUUUGGAGCUCCUUUGUAUUCCAUAGCUUCUG